GUCAUGUUGGAUUGUCAUUAAUAAUUGGUUUGCAUCAUCCAUGUGCUACUACCCCCACUUUCCAAGGGUAAUAAUUUUGACAUUAUUUUUAGUCCAUCUACAUAGUUCUGAAAACAACCAAGAAGAGGAGGAGUAUUCUUUUAAAUGACAUUCUUUCUGAGCAGGGGCUUAUCAUCCAUCUGUGUUCACAAAGAAUGAAGUGUUCUGUUGUUUAUCCCUGAUGCUGCAACACUGGAACAUUCUUCAUAGCUCUGAAUCAUGCCAGAUGGUGACAGGGAAAUUGUCAUAGAAACUUGGGACCACAAAUGCAUUGGUAGUUGAGGCUGGGCAACACUGGAGACCCAUUUGGAUGCUUCCAUGGGAGUGGUGUCCUGGAAGAGAGGCAAAGACCACCUUCACCACUGGAGCAAACCAUUGACAGCAGCAUGGAAGCUCUGGCCUCUGAACAUAGGACAAGGCAUUUCCAAGCAUGUUCUGCUCUAUGAAGGUCAGGACUCGUUCUCUUUUCCUGUCUGCAUCUUCAGCACCUAGCACAGUACCCAGCCCCAAAGGGUGCUGAAUGGAUGAUGGAGUAAGGAACAUUCUGGAGUGUGAUGAGGGCCACUAGGUAACAGCACCUCUAAUUCAUGGGUACCUUGGUCACUGAAAAGAACUAAGGAAUGCCUGCAUAAAAAUCUGUACAAGGAUGCUUAUAGUAGCUUUAUUCAUAAUUUCCAAAACCUGAAGGCCAC
rnacentral:lncRNA from 1 species